rnacentral:rRNA from 1 species
CCUACGGGUGGCAGCAGUGGGGAAUAUUGCACAAUGGGCGCAAGCCUGAUGCAGCCAUGCCGCGUGUGUGAAGAAGGCCUUCGGGUUGUAAAGCACUUUCAGCGGGGAGGAAGGCGGUGAGGUUAAUAACCUCACCGAUUGACGUUACCCGCAGAAGAAGCACCGGCUAACUCCGUGCCAGCAGCCGCGGUAAUACGGAGGGUGCAAGCGUUAAUCGGAAUUACUGGGCGUAAAGCGCACGCAGGCGGUCUGUCAAGUCGGAUGUGAAAUCCCCGGGCUCAACCUGGGAACUGCAUUCGAAACUGGCAGGCUAGAGUCUUGUAGAGGGGGGUAGAAUUCCAGGUGUAGCGGUGAAAUGCGUAGAGAUCUGGAGGAAUACCGGUGGCGAAGGCGGCCCCCUGGACAAAGACUGACGCUCAGGUGUGAAAGCGUGGGGAGCAAACAGGAUUAGAUACCCUUGUAGUC